UACGUAGGGUGCGAGCGUUGUCCGGAAUUACUGGGCGUAAAGGGCGCGUAGGCGGCCUUCUAAGUCGAACGUGAAAUCCCUGGGCUCAACCCAGGAACUGCGUCCGAUACUGGAAGGCUUGAAUCCGGGAGAGGGAUGCGGAAUUCCAGGUGUAGCGGUGAAAUGCGCAGAUAUCAGGAGGAACACCGAUGGCGAAGGCAGGUCUCUGGGCCAUAACUGACGCUGAGAAGCGAAAGCAUGGGGAGCGAACAGG
rnacentral:rRNA from 1 species